CCUAAAGGCAUAAUGAAAGUAAAGGUCGGUYUUGCACCGACUUAGGGAGGAUGAGUUAUAUUUAAUUGUAUAAUUCCGCACUCCCGGGGCGUCUUAUUCUCAUUACGAGAAGAGGCGCACCUAGAGCGUACACGUUGGGACCCGAAAGAUGGUGAACUAUGCCUGGUCAGGAYGAAGUCAGGGGAAACCCUGAUGGAGGUCCGUAGCGAUUCUGACGUGCAAAUCGAUCGUCGGAACUGGGUAUAGGGGCGAAAGACUAAUCGAACCAUCUAGUAGCUGGUUCCCUCCGAAGUUUCCCUCAGGAUAGCUGGCACUCGUUAGUUCAUAAUGAACCUAAACGAGUCUCAUCUGGUAAAGCGAAUGAUUAGAGGCCUUGGGGCCGAAACGACCUCAACCUAUUCUCAAACUUUAAAUGGGUGAGAUCUCUGGCUUGCUUAAUUGAAGCUAUGAGAUUUCGGAUCAGAGUGCCAAGUGG
rnacentral:rRNA from 1 species